CUCUGGGUGGCCAUUGGGAGCAAUGGGAAGUGGGGUGUUGCUGUGGGUGUCACUGGGGGUUGAGAAGUGGGGUGCUGUUCUUCAUGGCAGUCGGGAGGGUGAGAAGUAGGGUACCAUGCUGGGCGGCCAUUGGGAGGAAUGGGGUGCUGGUUCACAUGGCUUUUGGCAGGGAUGGGAUCAGGGUGCUGCACUGGCGAUCAUGGGGAGCGGUGGGUUCAGGGUACUCUGGUGGGGGGCUUUGAGGAGGGUAAGAAGUGGGGCACAGCUGUGGGUGCUCAUGGGGAGGGGUGAGGUCAGGUCCUGCUCUGCCCGGCCAUCAGCAGGGGUGCCAUUGGGGUGCAGGUCUGUGUGGGGCGGGAUGGCUGUGGGCCCCACCUCUUCCCCCUCAGCUUGCUGGAGGGUGGGUGAGAAACCUUUCGUGGUUUCUCUUCCUUGUGGCCGUGCGAAGGUGGUCCAAGUCCAGACUUCUGUUGGGCAGCAGAGCAGGAGAGCUGCCCAAAUUCCAACCCAGAGAAUACAAAGGGCCCCAUGCAGUGCUGUGGCUCUGGGGAGAACGAGCUGUCUCGGAGUGGUGGGACGUGUCCAGGGGCCACGGCGGGCUGCAGCCCCUCACCUUGUGUCCCUCACAGCUGCCAUUCUCUGGGGCCUGCCCUAACCGCGGCCAGGGUGGGCGCCAAUGGCCAACGCUCACUAUGGGAGGAGCCCUUCCUGCUCCUCGCGUGGCUGUGCUAUUUGCACUGUGACCACCGCCCACCCCGGCGGUCCCACCAGGCCACCCAGAGGGCCCUGGGGACGCUGCCCCACGUGCACCCCGCUAGGAAGCCUCUAGAUCCUGGGCACCGUUUCCUCUGACGCGUUCCUUCCCCCCGUCCUCUCCUGGCCUUGCGAGUGUCUGCAGGGCACCGUGCAUGCACUUAAAGUGUGUUCCUGGGUGAGGCUGUGGUCACUGGAAGCCCUUCCCAAAGCGACCCCCACAAGGCCACGUUCCAGCCUCCGGGUUGGAGGGCUGCUUCUCACACGGGCAGCUGAGCCGGAGGUCCGCAUGGAGUUCCAGCAGAAGUCCCAGAGAGUGUCCCUACUGCCUUCCCUUCCGUUCCCACCGGGAACAGCAGCGCGUCCGGUGCCUCCAACAGCUCCAAGGAUGGCCUCCCUGACGCCCCCUGAGCGCAAGGAGUUGUGGCUCUGCCAGUGCCUUUGUGCCCUGCCCACAGGGGAGGGGGCUCGGGGGGUGGCACCUGCAGCCACGAGGACUCCAUCUCCUGGCCGAGCAGAGGUGGUGAGGAGGGGAGCUGCGGCCUGGCGUGCAGUGUGGCUGCAAUAUGGGUGGCACCGCGUGGGACAUCACCGGGCUGUCAGCUCAGCACGGGCACAUGGCUGUCCAAAGAGGUUCCAGGCACAGAUAAGACGUUCAGUUGGGAUUUGCGCCUCAGGGGACCAGCGGGGACAUUUAAGGGCAGCGUGCGCGGCCAUUAUUAGUGCUUUUGGCUGUCAGCUUCAGCGUGUCCUCACAGACUGCCUCAAUGGCACCGAGCUCAGUGAGGGCCGCUGGGCCCCGGUGCGGCCUACAGCCCUGCUCCCCAUGGGGUGCUGCCCUGAAGGGAGGCAGGGCGAGCAGAUCCAGGUGCCCUCGGGGGCUGGGAGCUACAGAGCAGCCCUGCCUGGGGGUCACACAGCCGUGGGAGGGGUCAGGUUCGGGUGGGGGUCCACACUUCCCCCACUUCCCAUAUCCCAGAGCUGGGUGUCACAGGCCUGGUGGGACUCGAUGCAGUCAUUUCCCUCUAUUAUUGGAGCUUUUUUAUCAGUGAGUUACGAGUCCUUUGCCACCGGCAGUGGCCUGAGCGCUAUACGAUGUACAAAGAAAAGGCAGCUCUGGUGCCAAAGUGCUUAUUGUUCAAAAUGCAGAUUUUUUUUUGUUUUUCUUUUUUUCCCUUCAAAGCAAACCAAUAGACGGAAAACCAGAUGAAAAAACAGUGGGAGCCCAGAGACGAGAGAGAAGGAUUUACUUUGUUAUUUAACCUGGGAUCUGCUGCGCUGUGCUCAGCAGCCUGCCCUAAGGAGCCUGCCUUGGGAGGGGUUGGGCUGGGGGAUCUGCAGAGCUUCCUUCCCACCCCUGAAAUCCUGUGAUUCCGUGGUUCUGUCUUCUCCAGGCACCCCUUGAAAUGGAGCCCUGGCAGAGAUCGUAGAUUGGUUUGAGUUGGACGGGACCCUGAAAAGCCAUCUGGUCCCACUCCCCUGCAAUGGGCAGGGUCACCCACAGCUCCUUCAGGAUGCUCAGAGCCUGGUCCAUUUCUGAGUGCUUCAUUGUUUUUAACGUGCCGCAGAAUUCUGUGUCGCCAACUCACGAGUGCAGAUGUUGUUGUGGACCGGCAGGAGCUAUUGGCAGUUGGGUCUUUUCCCACCUCCGAAGACAUGUGAAGCAAUUUGGAUCCAUGCGACGCUAGCUGAAUUGUGCUGUUAACAUGAUAAGUGGCGUUACAAGUGAGAGCAUUAGACAAAAAUUCACAUCUUUGGGAUCCUGAAUGUGUCUGUUAGCUGUAUGUCUCCAAAGAAAUUUUGUCACCCUGUCUGCAGGCUUUAAUAACACAACAGCAAAGUACUAGACUGUGUUUGGUUCAGGUUUGGGGCUACGGUUGCGUUCUUUUUCAUUGCUAUAAAAAUCCAGCAAAAUCUGGCCUUACCAUAAACCUGUGAGAAGUUGAGUGUGCACGUGUUCUGUAGAUACUCCCUAUGCAUUUGCAGAUAAACCCAUUGGAAACGCAACCAAGGUAUUUGAAACACACAGGCCUAUCAAUGCUGUGAAGCGCAGUGUUGCCACAAGAACCGGUGCCAUGGCAGAAGUCGAGAGGAAGCUGCUCAUUCCGGCAUGCCCAGCCUGCACGCCAUGCCAUCCUUCAGUCUUGGAGCUGCAUGUCAACCAGGAUGACAAAAGCAGUGAUGGAACGGCAGCUUGCUUGGGGGGCUGUGCAGGGGACCAUGGGCCCUCUGGAGAAAAACAGCAAGCGAGGAGGUCGUUAAUGCUGGGGGAGCAGUCUGCAACUGCGGCCCUGGUGCUGUCCUUCCCAGUGCCAGCAGUGAGAGCCAAGGCAGGAGGGAGCUGUGCCUGUGAGUCCCGAUGGUGAGAGCUCUGCGUGAACCACCUUGGAGCCCGGACAGCUGUUAUGAUAGACCUCUAUUCUGAGCUGUUUGUCUGGUGAGUCACUUUUAAAGGAACAAGGCUGAAACCACAUUGCUGCUAAUGACUCUUUCCACGGGUGUGGCUUCCCUUUGCUUGAGUACGCUUGAAGUCAUGCGCAGUGAGAGGUGUUUUCAGGGACCGGCUUAUUUUUGGCACUGAAUUUAGAACAGGGCCAUGUUCUGCCCAGAAGUUCACACCUUGCAACUGGCUCCCACCCACCCUUCACUUAUUUACCAUUCUGUUUUGAAAAUGGACCGAGGACUACAGACCACACAUGCCUAUGAGAUGCUGCACUUCAUUCAUGAUGGUACUUCAGAUACUGAGUGUUGAACCCCCAGAACAGGAGAGCAAGUCAGUAAUUUGCACCAGGUCAACUUGAUUAUUUUCUGAUUAUUUUCGUCCCGCUAAUCCUGUCGAUUAAAGAGAGGUGAUCCAGAGCUGUCAGUAAUCUUUGGGGAUGAAGCACGGGUGGAGCAAAGUUGAGCUUAGUGAAAUCUACCGGAUAGACCAAAACAGCACCAAACUGUUUGGUUCUCACCCCCACUGACUCUCUCUUAAAAAAUACAUGUAGGAAGAUUGAGCAUAGAAAACAUUUAUCAUUUCAGCGCAACUUCUCCUAUAUCUCUUUGUGCCUCCUUGUUAAAUAGUGCUUUGCUCUCUGGAAGCAAGGCGAAAAACAAGGGGACAGAAUAAAGUUGGGGUACUUGAAUUUGUGACUUAAUUACGUCGUCAUUACCAGAGCGGCUUCCCUAGAUGUGUGCAGGACUGUGUGAUACAUCCUGAGGAACGCGUCCCAGUCCUGUGAGGUACCUGGUGAAAUCAUUUCAAGUAUCUACUGCCGACUUUGCUGGGAAUAAAGAUGCCUUGGGAGACUCACUGCACCCAACCCAGCCACGGAAACAGCAAUUGUGCCUUCGCCUCUCUCUGUUCUCAAAUACAAGCAGUUUGUCACCAAAGUGGUGCUUGAAGUAACUUCACUAAUUUCAGUACGGUUUAACCGAGAGCAGGUUUCAUCUGUUGCCUCCGAAAUAUUAGUUUGUGGAUUCCUGUGGAAAGAUAAAACAGGAGGGAGAAAAAUAUUCUCCUUCACUUGUGUGAAUUCCUACUAAAACAUCAUUUACUUUCUUGUUCCCUAGUGGAAAAGCAUGCUUGAUUUCAAUUAAAAUGAAAUGUCAUCAUUUUGGGACGUGCUGCAUAGUUUUAACAAAUACGCCUUGUGUUCAUCCAUCAGGGAGAAGAUGUUGGAUUUGUAUAAAGGCCAACAGGUACAGAGGAUGCUUUGCAUUCAUGGUGAAAUUACCUGUGCAUGUAUCCUACCAGCACCCUGUUUAGCUGAACUCAGCCGGGGCAGAGGAUUUUCCCUCCUUUUCCACCCGUGUUAGUUGCAGGUGUUUAGAGCAGUCUUUGUUCCACCUCUCUGGUGAUGGAUUUCCUCAAUUCUGCAGCCUCAGGUCUGGGUCCCUGGGUCCCAGCAGCCUUUCCCAGUUGGAGAUACUGUGUCCUGCAAGCCCCCACUGUACUGGUUGGCAGCAGUGGUCACUGGUGAUGUUUUGCUCUGAACAAGGCUGUAUGGUAUGUCCUGUAGUUGAGGGAAGUCUACAGAACUGAAUUUUACCAUAAAAAAAAAAAAUAUAUAUAUAUGUAUACAUAUAUAUAUAAAUUCCUGUUGAAGCAUCCUGCUAUACAUUAUUUUUUAAUUCAAAGGCUGUUUCUCUUUCCCCUCACCCCUUCCCAGUGGGAUGGGGGAAAGAAUAAGAAAACAAACAAAGUAGAAUUCGGAGGUUGAGGUAAAACUUUACUAAGACAGAGAAAAGGAAAAUAGUUAUGACUGUACGUAUACAUAAAUGUCUAUAAGAAGUGAUGCACAAGCAGUUGCUCACCACGCUCGACCAAUGCUCAUCUGGCCCUUGAGCAGUGGAAUAGAGCAGUAUGAAUUCCUACCCCCUUCAAAACGCCUUCCACGUGAUGCCACAUGAUAUGGAAUAUCCCUUUGGCUAGUUUAGGUCAGCUGUCCUGAUUCUGCUCUCUCCCAGCAACUUGGGCCCUUUGCUGAGAGUGGCCUUGGCAUAGCAGGCAACUAUAAAGAUUGCUGCAUUAUCAACGGAGUUUAUCUCCUAGAACCAAGACAUAGCAUCAUACCAGUCACUAUGAUGAAAACGGUUCCAUUCCAGCUGAAACUAAGACAAUAUCUUAUCCUUUUGCCAUUUAAAUUUGACAUGUAAAAAUUUCUUUUCAAGCCGUACUACAGUGAAGUUAGUUCUGUCAGUUUACUUCACUCAAGUAAAUGGGCAUAUGUAGGUAGUUAUGGAAAUACGUUGGUCGUGAUGACAGCUGGACUAAGAAUACGAAAUGUGCAAUAAGGCAACUUCUUAUGAAGAUUUCAGCAGGUAUCUUUAAUAUUUCCUCAAGAACAAACAUCUGGAAGAAAUGCUUUUCUCAUGGAAACGUUUUUAAUAUGGUACGUUUUCUUCGAGAAAAGACAGGGAAAUGUUAAUUGGAGGUGUGUAUCGUAGCCAAUUAACUUGAUAAUACACCUGUAAAACUAGAAACAGUGUUAUUCUUUGUCUACUGCUUGCCAUCUUCUAUUAAUGACUAAAGAACAGAAAAGUAUUCUACGUAUGAUAAUGUGAUUUGUGGCUUUCUUCCCCAGGUAGACCUAUUUAAAAAGUAAGAAAUGUUUGGAGGGAGGUAUGGCACCUAAAAUGCCCGUUUCACAGAAGUUUGCUAUUCUGUAACGUCAAACAAAAGUGUGUUUGGAACGCCCAGGCUUCUGAGUGCAGUCAGCGUGAUGAGUGUCACUGGUGAUGAUUUACGGUCAUUCUGCAUGACCAAACUAAACAAAGUUCUGGGUAGCAGACGUACUUUGUCUUCAGCUUUUGAAUGGAAUUAGCAUAUUGUAUGUGUGAAAAGAACUGUAUUCUUUGUUUUUUGUUUGUUUGUUUGUUUGUUUGUUUGUUUUCCUUGGGGCUUUCUUUAUUUCCUAUUCUCCUAAUCUGGAUCUUGUGAGCAUACAGUAUGAUGAUAUGGGUAUCAAAAUGUCUGAUUCAAAGACAACUCCCUCACAGUGUUUGAAGGCAGAUGCUAUAUUCCAAGUAGAGGGAGAAGUUCUGAACUAUGCCAUGACAUGAUAACCAAACUUUUCAUAAGUAGUAUUCCUGAAACGCUUAGACUUGAAUGUAUUUUGGGAAAUGCCUAACACUGUUUUCCUUAUAUCAAAAUUUUAAUACGUGUUUUAACUUAAUGUUACAUUUUCAUUCCAAAUGAGGAAGAUGAAAUGUCUUGAUCGGCCCCUUGAAAGCAUCCAACAUAAUUUUCUCCAGAGUGUGUGGGGUCAUCCAUCAUAAAGCUACACAGAAUGUUCCUGCAUUGCUCUCCCUGCUUCAGAAACUCAGUAAUUUGAUUGAUAAAAGUGUCUUACAAUUCCUCACAUAAAUGUGAGCAUGGCAAUAUUUUUGUUAUCAGUAUCAUCCUUUAACUCGAGUAGUUCUUCCUUUCUUGGCUUAUCACUAAUAAUGCUCAUCAUGCUGGGAUAAAUGAUGUCUCUUACACAAUGGAUUCUCCAUUCUCUUCUAAGUAGCCCUUCUCUGCUUUUUUUUUUUUUUUUUUUUUCCAUUUUGAAUUCAUCUUUCCCAAAAAGGUUGAAUAGAAUUACAUUCAGCGUCCCAUAUAAAGCCUUACUGCAUCUUGCUCAGUGCAAUUAAUAGUUGCUUACAUCUGCUAGAAGUCACCUGGCUCACAUCUUAGGAUCACUUUUGAUUCUUUCAACAGCAUCUGAUAUUUACCCCGGAAUUCAGGAACACGUCCAGGCCAGAUCUGGAUCCUCAGCUCCGCAAGAGGUGUCAACAGCAGCUGUGACGAACUGUUCUCAGCAGGUCCCCUACCAAAGCACAGCUGACUGGAGACCUGUCUUCUGGAUGGCAGUCAGAUGAGGUGAAUCCCUCACUGUCUACACUUCCCAUUACAUACUGUUGCAUCUAAUGUACUUUCUAUUGCUUUGGUCUUCAAUGAGCAGAACUUCCAGUGUGAUGCUCCCAUCAUUGCCACUACCUCCUUCAAUUUGUCACUGGAACGUUUUAUUAGCUUACUCCUCCCUUUACUGCAGAGAUCAUUGAUGAAAUAAGCAGUAAGAUCAUUUCCAGCACUAACUCUUGAUGUUGAAUUCACAGAAUCACAUACUGUCUGAGCCGGGAAGAGACCGCUGGGUCCUUCUGAUCCAACCCCCUCCCCAGGAUCGGACACCCAGAGCAGAGUGCCCAGGCCCCCGUCCAGCUGAGUUUUGAAGACGUCCAAGCAGGAAACCCCAACAUCUCUCUGGGAAACCAGUAACAGUGCUCUGGCACCAGCACAGUGAAGAAGUGCUUCAAGAAAUGUAGGAAGGAGAUCUUGGGUUCAGGUCCACGGCAGCACUAAGCCGUUGGUGAUGUGCCACGGCUACAUCUUCAGAGAGAUGGGAGAAGCGUCGCCAUUCGCACAGGAACAAAUAUGCUGACUCAGUAAUGGAAGAAUGCUAAAGAAAAUGUAUCCACUUGGAGAUCUUUUUUCUAUAUUCUUUCAUCCUAGAAUUUCAUGGAACGAGAAUAACAUAGUUACUUGUUUGUGUUGAAAUCAAACAUGCUUGUUCUUCACUUGCAAAAAUAGGAAACUUCUUUCAAAGUGACACUCUUCAUGAAAGAAUAGAAGUGUGCAGCUGCUGUAUGACUAAGUGAUUAAAAACCUGAUGGCUAAUUCAUUUUAGGUGAUAUGUUUGCACUCAAGGCCAAGUAUCAUAAAAAUAGCUGCUUCGCUUUUCUUUUUUAAUAUUAAGUAAAACACCAUAGAGUUUUCAGUAGGCUGGCAAGAUUUUCCAUAUCCAGUUUUGCCCAAUUGAAGUCAGGCUACCACAACUAGAAUUGUCUUCUCUCUAAUAUUUCCCUUUUACGCAGCCUUCACCCACGUAGUUUUUACUAGACAAAUGGUUUUAAACUACCUGAGGCCAAGGGGAAAGUUCACAACAUUUUAUAAAUCUUGCCUGGAAAAUGCCAAGAUAGAUGGCAUUUUCUUGGCUCGUACACUGUGUGUAGGGAAGUAGAGAGAGUUUAGAGAGUUUAUGAGACUUAAUAGUCUGCUCACCAAAGCGGUAGUAUUUAACUCAUUGAGUGCUAUUUGAGGACUCGACAUGGCUAGAGAAGAAUGUCAUAUUGUUGUUAAUAUUAUUAUUUGUUAUUUUUGUUAUUGAGCUUAGAUGCGUAGAAGACAACCAGAGAUGCUUGAUUUUGGGUUCAGUGUGCUGAUGUACGUUGCUUGUCCUUAUAAUCUAAUUAAAAGAUGAUGUAAAAAAUACGUGGGAAUGAGAACAGAAAGAGGAUGAAGAAGAAAAUAAUUGAAGUAAUACAUGGUGGUUGGAUUAGUUAUUUGCACAAUUAGCUAUUUGAAUUAGCUACUUGACAAGUGAUAUAGAAGAAAGAAUAAAGGGCUAUCUCUGUCAAAGACAGUUUUUAGUGAAGCUGCUACUGUAAGUGUAUUAUGAUUUAAAUAUAAAGAGCUUCAGGUUUCAGUUAAAUGGAUUUUGAUUCUGCUUAUUUUUCUAAUGCUAGAUUUGUUUCAUUUCUGUAUUAAGCUCCUCUUAUUAAACCAUGCAGUGUCUGAUGGAAAUUUCAACCUUUGUUUCAAGUGCAAUGCAGUUUCCUGGGAGCAGACUAAGGCAUAACCUAACGAUUUUUUUAAACACUUAUUUGUGCUCAACAAAGAGAUUGAACAUAAAAUCUCAGGAUUUAUUGAAAUACUCUGAGCCGGAGAAACAGGUAUACAAUUAUUUCUAGAUAUUGGAUUGCUUUUCAGCUGACAAACUCAUAACUUUGCUACUGCGUUCUUCUGACAUGCUCAACAGAGGUUUGAUUAUGUCUAUCCCCAUUUAGCUAGGUAGAGUGCCAUCUCCGCUGGGGGAAACAGAGAAAACAGCUACUUGAAAACAAGAAACUAUUAAUAUUUGAUCAAAAUUAAAUUGAUUGUAUGGGAUGAAUAUGAGGUAGGAAAUUGUAGUCAAAUUAAUUUUCACAGCAAAUUGGUCUCAAUUUUUUUGAGAAGGACCCAAAGUGAGUUAUGGACCCAACAGUCCAAUGCAGUCAGAUCCAGGAGACUGGAAUCUUCAAGUCCUUCACAUGGCAAGCCACCAGUCUGGAAUGUCUUACCUGACUGAUUUUCCAGAACCACUUCCUUCAAGCUGAAGAGCCAUCUCAACAUGUGGAAAGGCAAGCCUGAGUGGCAGGAGACCUGCAUGGCUGGGCAAUGAAUGGACGCAAACAUAAAAAGGAAGAGAGGAAAAGGUGGAAGCAGGGCACCCACAUCGUGACUUAAGGUCAUCAAGGGCUGUGAGAUUUGUAUGGAAUACAACAAAAAUAUCAAAUAAAAUUGAGGAACUUAUC
ensembl:lncRNA